UACAGAGGCCACAAGCGUUAAUCGGAAUCACUGGGCUUAAAGGGUGCGUAGGCGGGUUCGUAAGUGCUAUGUGAAAGCCCUCGGCUCAACCGGGGAACUGCAUGGCAUACUGCGAAUCUCGAGGAAUCUAGAGGCCGGCGGAACGAUAGGUGGAGCGGUGGAAUGCGUAGAGAUCUAUCGGAACGCCAAAGGUGAAGACAGCCGGCUGGGGAUUUCCUGACGCUGAGGCACGAAAGCGUGGGGAGCAAACAGG
rnacentral:rRNA from 1 species